AGCGAACGCUAGCGGCGGGCUUAACACAUGCAAGUCGAGCGGAGGGUUUCGGCCCUCAGCGGCGAACGGGUGAGUAACACGUGGGUAACGUACCCUUUGGUGGGGAAUAACCUAGGGAAACCUGGGCUAAUACCGCAUAUGUCCUUCGGGAUGAAAGUCUUCGGACGCCAGGGGAUCGGCCUGCGGCCCAUUAUUUAAUCCUAGUUGGUAGGGUAACGGCCUACCAAGGGUACGAUGGGUAGCUGGUCUGAGAGGAUGAUCAGCCACACUGGAACUGAGACACGGUCCAGACUCCUACGGGAGGCAGCAGUGGGGAAUAUUGGACAAUGGGCGAAAGCCUGAUCCAGCCAUGCCGCGUGCAGGAAGAAGGCCUUCGGGUUGUAAACUGCUUUAGUCUAGGAAAAAGGGGUGCGAGGUUAAUACCCUCGUGCUUUGAUGGUACUGGAAGAAUAAGCACCGGCUAACUACGUG
rnacentral:rRNA from 1 species